GAUCUAACCCAGAGGUAAGUCACGGCUAACUCUGUGCCAGCAGCCGCGGUAAGACAGAGGUGGCAAGCGUUGUUCGGUGUCACUGGGCUUAAAGGGUGUGUAGGCGGCUAGACAAGCGCGUUGUGAAAUCCCCCGGCUUAACCGGGGAACAGCUUCGCGUACUAUCUGGCUUGAGGCAGGUAUGGGUGCGGGGAACUGUUGGUGGAGCGGUGGAAUGCGUAGAUAUCAACAGGAACGCCGGUGGUGAAGACGCUGCACUGGACCUGUCCUGACGCUGAGACACGAAAGCGUGGGGAUCGAACGGGAUUAGAUACCCCGGUAGUCCACGCCCUAAACGAUGUUUACUAGGCUGGGGAGGUUCUGACACCGUCCUGGCCGAAGCAAAAGUGUUAAGUAAACCGCCUGGGGAGUACGGUCGCAAGGCUAAAACUCAAAGGAAUUGACGGGGGCUCACACAAGCGGUGGAGCAUGUGGAUCAAUUCGAAGCAACGCGAAGAACCUUACCUGGGUUUGACAUGGUUGGAUACUUUACCUGAAAAGGCU
rnacentral:rRNA from 1 species